GUUACCACAGGGAUAACUGG
rnacentral:snRNA from 1 species